UACGUAGGGCGCAAGCGUUAUCCGGAAUUAUUGGGCGUAAAGAGCUCGUAGGCGGUUUGUCGCGUCUGCCGUGAAAGUCCGGGGCUCAACUCCGGAUCUGCGGUGGGUACGGGCAGACUAGAGUGAUGUAGGGGAGACUGGAAUUCCUGGUGUAGCGGUGAAAUGCGCAGAUAUCAGGAGGAACACCAAUAGCGAAGGCAGCUCUCUGGGACGGUACUGACACUGAGACGCGAAAGCGUGGGGAGCGAACAGG
rnacentral:rRNA from 1 species